rnacentral:rRNA from 1 species
UACAGAGGUGCCAAGCGUUAGGCGGAAUCACUGGGCUUAAAGCGUGUGUAGGCGGACUGUUAAGUACCUUGUGAAAUCCCACGGCUCAACCCGUGGAACUGCUCGGGUAUACCUGGCGGUCUUGAGCUGCUUAGGGUCGUCGGAACAAGCGGUGGAGCGGUGAAAUGCGUAGAUAUCGCUUGGAACGCCAACGGUGAACAGACGACUGGAGCACGCUGACGCUGAGACACGAAGCCAGGAGCGAACGG